rnacentral:rRNA from 1 species
CAAUAGCGUAUAUUAAAGUUGUUGCAGUUAAAAAGCUCGUAGUUGGACCUUGGACCUGGACAGGCGGUCCGCCUCACGGCGUGUACUGUCUUGCUGGGUCUUUCCUCUUGGUGAUCUGUUGUUUCGGCAGCAGGGAACCAGGACUUUUACUUUGAAAAAAUUAGAGUGUUCAAAGCAGGCUCGACGCCGGAAUAUAUUAGCAUGGAAUAAUAAAAUAGGACGUGCGGUUCUAUUUUGUUGGUUUUGGAAUCGCCGUAAUGAUUAAUAGGGACAGUCGGGGGCAUUAGUACUCACAUGCCAGAGGUGAAAUUCUUGGAUUUUGUGAAGACUAACUUCUGCGAAAGCAUUUGCCAAGGAUGUUUUCAUUAA